rnacentral:SRP_RNA from 1 species
GGGUAUAUUGACACAUACCUGUAAUCACAACUAUCCAAGAGAUUGAAACUGGUGGGUCUCUUGAAUUCGAAGUUCUGAAUUGCAAUGGCUGAGGCUGACCAGGUGCUCACACUGAGUUCAGUAUCAGUAUGGCGAACUCCUGGGAGCAGGGAGCCCCCAGAUUGCCUGGGGAGGAACAAACUGGCCCAAGCUGGAAUGGAAUAGGUCAAAGCUCCCAUGCCAAUCAGUACUGGAAUCAGGACCUGUGAGUUGCCCCCCACACACAUACUUCCAACCUGGGCAAGAUAAGGAGGCAUCAUCCUUUU